UACAGAGGUCUCAAGCGUUAUUCGGAUUCAUUGGGCGUAAAGGGGUGCGUAGGCGGCGCGGUAAGUCGGGUGUGAAAUCUCGGAGCUUAACUCCGAAACUGCAUUCGAUACUGCCGUGCCUGAGGACUGGAGAGGAGACUGGGAAUUUAACGGUGUAGCGGUGAAAUGCGUAGAUAUCGUAAGGAAGACCAGGUGGCGAAGGC
rnacentral:rRNA from 1 species